GCCUUAAUGCAGCUCCCCCAGGGGAACGGUCACAAGCCCGUGGAAAUGCAGAGUGAGGC
rnacentral:ribozyme from 2 species